UCGCCUGGUCGAUCGCUCCCCUGAUGGAGUC
rnacentral:sRNA from 1 species